rnacentral:rRNA from 1 species
GAUGAACGCUGACAGAAUGCUUAACACAUGCAAGUCAACUUGAAUUUGGGUUUUUAACUUAGGUUUGGGUGGCGGACGGGUGAGUAACGCGUAAAGAACUUGCCUCACAGUUAGGGACAACAUUUGGAAACGAAUGCUAAUACCUAAUAUUAUGAUAAUAGGGCAUCCUAUGAUUAUGAAAGCUAUAAGCGCUGUGAGAGAGCUUUGCGUCCCAUUAGCUAGUUGGAGAGGUAACGGCUCACCAAGGCGAUGAUGGGUAGCCGGCCUGAGAGGGUGAUCGGCCACAAGGGGACUGAGACACGGCCCUUACUCCUACGGGAGGCAGCAGUGGGGAAUAUUGGACAAUGGACCAAGAGUCUGAUCCAGCAAUUCUGUGUGCACGAUGAAGUUUUUCGGAAUGUAAAGUGCUUUCAGUUGGGAAGAAAGAAAUGACGGUACCAACAGAAGAAGUGACGGCUAAAUACGUGCCAGCAGCCGCGGUAAUACGUAUGUCACGAGCGUUAUCCGGAUUUAUUGGGCGUAAAGCGCGUCUAGGUGGUUAUGUAAGUCUGAUGUGAAAAUGCAGGGCUCAACUCUGUAUUGCGUUGGAAACUGUAUAACUAGAGUACUGGAGAGGUAAGCGGAACUACAAGUGUAGAGGUGAAAUUCGUAGAUAUUUGUAGGAAUGCCGAUGGGGAAGCCAGCUUACUGGACAGAUACUGACGCUGAAGCGCGAAAGCGUGGGUAGCAAACAGG